UCGAUCUUGGAACAAUGAGGAGGGUUUGGAGGCUAAUGGUACGUGGUGAUGCCAGAUACCAAUGAUUAGGAGGCUCAAACUAAUGGGGUGGCGCUUGAUGAGGUGGAAUAGGAUCGAGGGAGGAGAUAUAUUCAAAAGACUUGAGGAGAUUGAGGCCUUCAUAGUGGAGUUUUAAGAGUGAGAGGACCAAGAUGGGGGCCUUGUGGAGG
rnacentral:lncRNA from 1 species